UGUUUUUGAAUGUCAUGUUUAGCCAGGAUUCAUUUUACCUUCCCUGGUACUAUCCAGCUCUUAGAUGUCUAUAAAAUAGGCUCCAAAUGAAGAAGGUGAACUACCACAAAGGAUGUGAGAAAUGUUGAUCAGAGAAAUAAAGGAGUGCUACUUCAAUCAAAAUGGCCCUGGGAGAGAUGGAGGGAAGACAGUCGUCAGCCUUCCUCUUGCAACGGCUACCUCAUCGAGAUUGAGAUUGAGGGAGAAAAUGCUACUGAGUCCAGUUCUCAGUGGGCAAAAUUGGGCCACGCUCCUUCUCAUUGAAUUUGCCGUAAUGACUUUGAGGUGCUGGCAAGGACAUCCACCUGGUGACAUCUUGGAGGCAAGAAACAAUGGGAGAUUGUAGAGAAGGAUGAAAAUGGAAAAUUGGAAGACUCGAAGGCAGCGGAAUCCCCAGCAACAAGCUACUGACCGGGAAAUCAAAUGAGCCGAGGUCCUUCGGCGAAUGCGUUUUAAAUGUUGGGAGCAGCGGUCCAAGUGUGACCGCGUACGAAGCCCAGGCCUGCUUGCAAGCAGAGAAAUAAUUUCAGACCAAGAAUCAAUGAAUCAAAGGUAUUUAUUGAGUGCUUACUGCGUGCAGAGCACUGUACUAGGCGCUUGGGAGAGUAAAAUACAAUAAUAGAGUUGGUAGAAUAGUGUGGCACUGGGUGGUUUCCCCUCCUCUAGACUGUAAGCUCAUUGUGGGCAG